GUUUAAAAGCUCAUCCUGAAAAAGACUUGGGAUGGAUCCUGCCGGCUACAAUUGUCUCCUUCAAUAAGGACUUUCUAUUGGCUUAAACCUGUGCACAAGCAGUCUACACAAGAGUAGACUUGUGUAGCUGAAACUGCUCUCAAACUUAAGACCCUACUGCCUCAGUUCCAGAAUCGUGUGAUUACAGGCUUGGUCACUCACUGAUCGAGGAGCCGGAAUGAUUGGCCAUCAAGCCGCAGAAAUCCUGCAUCGAAACGGCCCCCGCACUCUCUACGCUCUCUGCGAGUGGGCUCUCUCGCCCGCAAACAGUCUCAGCUUUCUCAGGAGUGAAAGCCGACUGUAAGACAGCAGCUUCCUAGCAAAGCAUCCUCAUCACGAGAAUGGUGAACUCGAGAGGGAUGGGAGGACCGGAAGUUGAGGUGGGCAGCCGGACUAGAAAUGCGGGGACACCGGAGAGGGUCGACUGCUGUGACAGGGCAGCCCAAAGAGAGCGCGCGAAAGAGUGGGUGGGCGGGGCCUCGCGGAAGGAGGCGGGGCCUCCAGGUUACAGCCAACCCUGGGCGCCUGCUGCGGAGCGUGGGCGUGGCGGGAUAGUAGCAUCGCGGACUGGGUUCUGCUCCUGGUCUGUGUGCUGCAGCUUGCAGAGCUCUUUACUGCCGCAGUCUUUCCGGCUUUGCCCUUCUAAAAGCGUGUGCUCUCAAAGCUUGAGCGAGCACAUCGCGAUGUCUCCCCCUGUGUCUCUGGAGAUGCCUUUGAGGAUUUUAGUGAUUAUUUUCUAUUUCCUCCUCUUCCUCCUUCAGUUCUUCCACUCUAUGUAGACCAGGCUGGUCUGCAACUCACAAGAGAUCAGCCUGCCUCUGCUUCUGCCUCUGCCUCCCUAGCGCUGGGAUUAAAUUGGUAUUCCUCAGGUUCUCACCCGUUGAAUAUAUAAAUCCUGAGCCAUUAUGCGGGUGCUGCCAACAGCACCCCGCUUCUCUGAAAAAGCAGCAGAUGUUCUUAACUGAAAAGCUAUUUCUGGAGCCUUCAAUAUAUUGAUUUUAGUAUAUUUCAUUAAUUCUUUGUGAAUUGUGUACACUGUAUUUGGAUCUUCACAGCCCCUCCCAGAUCUACCAUGUGUCCCCGUCCCCGUCUUCCCAAAUU